rnacentral:tRNA from 1 species
GUGGUUGUAGCUCAAUUGGUUAGAGCGUCGGUUUGUGAAGCCGAAGGUUGCGGGUUCAAAUCCCGUCAGCCACCCCA